AUACGGAGGAUCCGAGCGUUAUCCGGAUUUAUUGGGUUUAAAGGGAGCGUAGGUGGAUUGUUAAGUCAGUUGUGAAAGUUUGCGGCUCAACCGUAAAAUUGCAGUUGAAACUGGCAGUCUUGAGUACAGUAGAGGUGGGCGGAAUUCGUGGUGUAGCGGUGAAAUGCUUAGAUAUCACGAAGAACUCCGAUUGCGAAGGCAGCUCUCUAGACUGUUACUGACACUGAUGCUCGAAAGUGUGGGUAUCAAACAGGAUUAGAUACCCUGGUAGUCCACACAGUAAACGAUGAAUACUCGCUGUUUGCGAUAUACAGUAAGCGGCCAAGCGAAAGCAUUAAGUAUUCCGCCUGGGGAGUACGCCGGCAACGGUGAAACUCAAAGGAAUUGACGGGG
rnacentral:rRNA from 1 species